GAUGAACGCUGGCGGCGUGCCUAAUACAUGCAAGUCGAACGAAGUGGGGACGGGUGAGUAACACGUGGGUAACCUCCCAUCAGAGGGGAUAACACUUGGAAACAGGUGCUAAACCGAUACUGAUGGAUGGAACCGGGGUGCAUUAGGUAGUUGGUGAGGUAACGGCACACCUAGGCCACGAUGCAUAGCCGUCCUGAGAGGGUGAUCGGCCACACUGGAACGGAGACACGGCCCAGACUCCUACGGGAGGUAUCAGUAGUGAAUCUUCGGCAAUGGACGAAAGUCUGACCGAGCAACGCCGCGUGAGUGAAGAAGGUUUUCGGAUCGUAAAACUCUGUUGUUAAAGAAGCGUUAUCUAACCAGAAAGCCACGGCUAACUACGUGCCAGCAGCCGCGGUAAUUC
rnacentral:rRNA from 1 species